AGCAGACUUGGCGGGGGCAAAGGAGGGCAUUUGAGCUCUGCCUCAUCUUUUCCAAAUAGUUCUCGUAGAACAGGAGUUCUUAAGUGCACUCUGUCCAGCACUGGAGGUGGACAGUAGGUUCCAGGGCCACACGCCAGCCCCACUGAGUCACAGUUGCUGGGAUGGACUCUGGGAAUCCGUAUUUCUAACAAGCCCCUCAGACCAUUUGGAUGUCGGCUGAGGUUGGAGGACCGCGGAUCCGUGUGAUACAGGGAGUUGAGGACCAUCAAAUGGGGAACUCUACUUUCGUAGACCAGCAUACCGUUACGGUGUGGCCUAAGUAUGGUGUGUUUCCCAAAAUAGGACACAUACAAGCUUAGGUUCAUGGCCACGUUCCAAAGAGCUGAAGAUGCUGAAAGUUUCUCCUCCAGGACAGUGAGAAACUGAUUAUCAGGGCUUAUGAAGAAACUACCCCAAUGAUGGCAGAAUUCAGUACCUACACCAUAAUCAACAAAGACACUUUCCCAAUGAGAAAAGAGCAAUGAAAUGGCCCUUCUGAGUGCUUACCUGCUGCAGAUCAGCGAGGGAAUACAGGUGGAUCUGUUGAAGGAGGUAUUCUCUGGGGAAAAUUCUGAAAACAAGGACAGAAAGACAAAUGAACUGUGUUGACUGCCACAAAACACACUUCCUGGUCUGUGAAAUGGGAAGGUCUGGUAAAUGCCGCCCUAGGGAAAAUGCUAAGCCCAUGGUCACGCCUCGCUCUCCGAGCCUGACUGAACAACCGGGAGCGCAGGACCGCCUGGGUCAGCAACCCCAUUUUCUGGGACAUCGUGGUCUGCUACCUCCCUGCCUGCCUUCCCACUCUUCCACACGACCUCAGUCAAGGCUUUCGGAGAAUUAAAAGUGGUUCCUUCUGAGAGCCCGGAGACCUCUGUCCCUCACCACCUCCACCAGCAAAUGUGCCGGGGAGAACAGCAGCGAUCUGGUUCGGAGCAGGGACUCUGCUGCUUACCAGAUUUGUC